rnacentral:rRNA from 1 species
UACGUAGGGUGCGAGCGUUGUCCGGAAUCAUUGGGCGUAAAGAGCGUGUAGGCGGCCUUUUAAGUCCUGCGUGAAAUCCUGCGGCUCAACCGCAGACGGUCGUGGGAAACUGGAAGGCUAGAGUGCGGGAGAGGAGAGUGGAAUUCCCGGUGUAGCGGUGAAAUGCGCAGAUAUCGGGAAGAACACCCGUGGCGAAGGCGGCUCUCUGGAACGCAACUGACGCUGAGACGCGAAAGCGUGGGGAGCAAACAGG